rnacentral:lncRNA from 1 species
CAAGAACAAAGGAAGAAAAAAAAGAACAAAAACCCUAGAGUGAAAAUUUAAGAGAAAAUUGGUGGAUUUCAAGUAAUCAAGCAAUCAAAGGUAAAAUUUCUUGAUUUUGACUUGUGAUCUACCUUUCCCAUACAUUCUUUUGCAUUUUCCAUGGUUGAAUCACAUGAUUUCAUGAUGGGUCUCUUGCUAGCCAAACACUUAGAGAGAGAUUUUGAUGGUUGUUUUGGUUAGAUUUUAAGAUAUUCUAGUGUUUUUAGUUGAUUGGUGAUGUGUAGUAUGAAAAUCAAGUAAGAAAAAUUCAUGUUCUUCCAUAACCCAUCAUUGGUCGAAUUCUCCAUGUGAAAUAUUGAUGAUGAUUUUGAUUUUAUUUCAAGUGAUUUGGUUAGGAAUUAGUGAUUUAUGGUGUGAGAAUCAAGCUUGAAAAAUUAUAUUGUUAGUGAACCCUCCAUGGUCGAAUUUUCCAAGAGAAAAUGUGAGGAUGAUUUUGCCACAUUUCAAGUUAUUUAAUUUGUGUUUGAUGAUUUGGAGUAUUGGGAGAAAAAUGGAAUUAUUUAGAGUUAAAUUAGACAUAUUGGCCAAUUAAUCGGGUGAUAGAUCGAAUUAGGCCAAUACCAUUUUAUUUAGGUACAUAAUUGAAUUUAUAUUGAACACUAUAUUUAGAUAGUUACCCGAGUAUUUUACAUCCCAUUUCAUGCAUUAGUAUAAAGCCUGAAUUGGAUUUACAAUGGUUUAGCACAAAUGUAGUAAAUGGUUUAUUGUGCAUUAUGUGUAGGUGGUGAGCUUUCUGGCAAAAGUAAAGAGAUAGUACCCGAGGAUCAAGAAUCAGAGUACUCAAAAUUCGACUCCCGAAAUAGUGAGUAACCUUACUAUUGUCUUAAUUAUCUAAAGUAGUUUUUACUCAUUUUUGUGAAUUGAUAGAAAAAUGAGUUUAAAUGGUAAAUCUUUAUGUUUUAUAAGCAAAAUGUGAUUAAAUGAAAUGAUUUUAUAAAAUUGUCUUGAAAUUGAAAGAUGGUUUUGAAAAUGGAGUAAUUAGAGACUAAUUGUUGUGUUAUAAAUUAUGGUUUGAAUUUAAUGGCUUAUGAUAAUAUUGGCAUGAAUGGUUGAAUUGGUAAAUAUGCUGAAAAUGUAUGAACUAUUGAUUUACCUUGAGAGGCUGUAAAAUAAAAUAAUUUUCAUGUCAUGCUAUCGCAAAUUUUAUUGUAUGGUGGUUUAGCUUACUGCAGUGGGCGGGUUCUGUGGACCAGCCUUUUUAAGGGGCAUGGAAUCUUGUUAUAUAUAUCUUACCUCGAUUGGGGAGGCACGUAGGGUAACUCCCGAGGUACAACUUUAGAGUUCACUUCACGCCAAACCACCACGUGAGGGUGAACUCAGCCAACGCCAAGGAACGACUAUGUUUUCAAAAGAAAAAAACAUGAUUUAUGCGUACAUGACUUUUUAACAGCCUUGGCGGACUUGGUUGGGAUAGCCCCAGGCCAAGGUAUCCCUAAUAACUGAGUAUGAGAAUGAUUUUGGCACGAGCCAAACUUUUCAGGAAAUCAUAAGCCUUGUUGUUUAUUUUGGGUGAAAUGAAUCUAUUUUAUCUUAUUAAAAUGAGUUCGAAAUGCUGUGAAUCAUUUUUAUGUUAAACUAUUUAUCUGUCUCCAUUUUUUCAGCUUUAGAUAUUUUAGAUAGUAUUUUUUUACUCAUUGAGAUAAUAUAAUCUCACCACCCUCCUUUCCACUAAUUUUAG